rnacentral:tRNA from 2 species
AGCCCGGUGGUGUAGUGGACAAGCAAGGACUGCCCUGGUGACAGGCUUCCCUUGAGUAGCGGGCUUUGGACCCGCAGACGGGAGUUCGAAUCUCCCCCGGGCUACCA